UCUACGGGGGGCUGCAGUGGGGAAUAUUGGACAAUGGGCGAAAGCCUGAUCCAGCCAUGCCGCGUGUGUGAAGAAGGCCUUCGGGUUGUAAAGCACUUUCAGUGGGGAAGAAAGCCUUGGGGCUAAUACCCUCGAGGAAGGACAUCACCCACAGAAGAAGCACCGGCUAACUCCGUGCCAGCAGCCGCGGUAAUACGGAGGGUGCGAGCGUUAAUCGGAAUUACUGGGCGUAAAGCGCGCGUAGGCGGUCUGAUAAGCCGGUUGUGAAAGCCCCGGGCUCAACCUGGGAACGGCAUCCGGAACUGUCAGGCUAGAGUGCAGGAGAGGAAGGUAGAAUUCCCCGUGUAGCGGUGAAAUGCGUAGAGAUCGGGAGGAAUACCAGUGGCGAAGGCAGCCUUCUGGACUGACACUGACGCUGAGGUGCGAAAGCGUGGGUAGCAAACAGGAUUAGAUACCCUGGUAGUC
rnacentral:rRNA from 1 species